AGUGAACGCUGGCGGUAGGCCUAACACAUGCAAGUCGAACGGCAGCACAGUAAGAGCUUGCUCUUACGGGUGGCGAGUGGCGGGCGGGUGAGGAAUACAUCUGAAUCUACUUUUUCGUGGGGGAUAACGUAGGGAAACUUACGCUACUACCGCAUACGACCUACGGGUGAAAGCAGGGGAUCUUCGGACCUUGCGCGAUUGAAUGAGCCGAUGUCGGAUUAGCUAGUUGGCGGGGUAAAGGCCCACCAAGGCGACGAUCCGUAGCUGGUCUGAGAGGAUGAUCAGCCACACUGGAACUGAGACACGGUCCAGACUCCUACGGGAGGCAGCAGUGGGGAAUAUUGGACAAUGGGCGCAAGCCUGAUCCAGCCAUACCGCGUGGGUGAAGAAGGCCUUCGGGUUGUAAAGCCCUUUUGUUGGGAAAGAAAAGCAGCAGGUUAAUACCCCGCUGUUCUGACGGUACCCAAAGAAUAAGCACCGGCUAACUUCGUG
rnacentral:rRNA from 1 species